CAGCCGCCGCGGUAAUGCGUAGGUGGCAAGCGUUGUCCGGAAUUAUUGGGCGUAAAGGGCUCGCAGGCGGUUUCUUAAGUCUGAUGUGAAAGCCCCCGGCUCAACCGGGGAGGGUCAUUGGAAACUGGGAAACUUGAGUGCAGAAGAGGAGAGUGGAAUUCCACGUGUAGCGGUGAAAUGCGUAGAGAUGUGGAGGAACACCAGUGGCGAAGGCGACUCUCUAGUCUGUAACUGACGCUGAGGAGCGAAAGCGUGGGGAGCGAACAGGAUUAGAUACCCCUGUAGUCCCUGUCUCUUAUAC
rnacentral:rRNA from 1 species